GACAGAGGGUGCGAACGUUGUUCGGAAUUACUGGGCGUAAAGCGCGUGUAGGCGGUCGUGCAAGUCGGGUGUGAAAGCCCUGGGCUCAACCCAGGAAGUGCAUUCGAUACUGCGCGACUGGAGUCCCGGAGAGGAUGGUGGAACUCUCGGUGUAGAGGUGAAAUUCGUAGAUAUCGGGAGGAACACCAGUGGCGAAGGCGGCUUCCUGGCCUGUUCUUGACGCUGAGGCGCGAAAGCUAGGGUAGCAAACGGG
rnacentral:rRNA from 1 species